rnacentral:rRNA from 1 species
GGUUAAGCGACUAAGCGUACACGGUGGAUGCCCUGGCAGUCAGAGGCGAUGAAGGACGUGCUAAUCUGCGAUAAGCGUCGGUAAGGUGAUAUGAACCGUUAUAACCGGCGAUUUCCGAAUGGGGAAACCCAGUGUGUUUCGACACACUAUCAUUAACUGAAUCCAUAGGUUAAUGAGGCGAACCGGGGGAACUGAAACAUCUAAGUACCCCGAGGAAAAGAAAUCAACCGAGAUUCCCCCAGUAGCGGCGAGCGAACGGGGAGGAGCCCAGAGCCUGAAUCAGUGUGUGUGUUAGUGGAAGCGUCUGGAAAGGCGCGCGAUACAGGGUGACAGCCCCGUACACAAAAAUGCACAUGCUGUGAGCUCGAUGAGUAGGGCGGGACACGUGGUAUCCUGUCUGAAUAUGGGGGGACCAUCCUCCAAGGCUAAAUACUCCUGACUGACCGAUAGUGAACCAGUACCGUGAGGGAAAGGCGAAAAGAACCCCGGCGAGGGGAGUGAAAAAGAACCUGAAACCGUGUACGUACAAGCAGUGGGAGCACAGAGCAAUCUGUGUGACUGCGUACCUUUUGUAUAAUGGGUCAGCGACUUAUAUUCUGUAGCAAGGUUAACCGAAUAGGGGAGCCGAAGGGAAACCGAGUCUUAACUGGGCGUUAAGUUGCAGGGUAUAGACCCGAAACCCGGUGAUCUAGCCAUGGGCAGGUUGAAGGUUGGGUAACACUAACUGGAGGACCGAACCGACUAAUGUUGAAAAAUUAGCGGAUGACUUGUGGCUGGGGGUGAAAGGCCAAUCAAACCGGGAGAUAGCUGGCUCUCCCCGAAAGCUAUUUAGGUAGCGCCUCGUGAAUUCAUCUCCGGGGUAGAGCACUGUUUCGGCAAGGGGGUCAUCCCGACUUACCAACCCGAUGCAAACUACGAAUACCGGAGAAUGUUAUCACGGGAGACACACGGCGGGUGCUAACGUCCGUCGUGAAGAGGGAAACAACCCAGACCGCCAGCUAAGGUCCCAAAGUCAUGGUUAAGUGGGAAACGAUGUGGGAAGGCCCAGACAGCCAGGAUGUUGGCUUAGAAGCAGCCAUCAUUUAAAGAAAGCGUAAUAGCUCACUGGUCGAGUCGGCCUGCGCGGAAGAUGUAACGGGGCUAAACCAUGCACCGAAGCUGCGGCAGCGACGCUUAUGCGUUGUUGGGUAGGGGAGCGUUCUGUAAGCCUGUGAAGGUGUGCUGUGAGGCAUGCUGGAGGUAUCAGAAGUGCGAAUGCUGACAUAAGUAACGAUAAAGCGGGUGAAAAGCCCGCUCGCCGGAAGACCAAGGCUCCUGUCCAACGUUAAUCGGGGCAGGGUGAGUCGACCCCUAAGGCGAGGCCGAAAGGCGUAGUCGAUGGGAAACAGGUUAAUAUUCCUGUACUUGGUGUUACUGCGAAGGGGGGACGGAGAAGGCUAUGUUGGCCGGGCGACGGUUGUCCCGGUUUAAGCGUGUAGGCUGGUUUUCCAGGCAAAUCCGGAAAAUCAAGGCUGAGGCGUGAUGACGAGGCACUACGGUGCUGAAGCAACAAAUGCCCUGCUUCCAGGAAAAGCCUCUAAGCAUCAGGUAACAUCAAAUCGUACCCCAAACCGACACAGGUGGUCAGGUAGAGAAUACCAAGGCGCUUGAGAGAACUCGGGUGAAGGAACUAGGCAAAAUGGUGCCGUAACUUCGGGAGAAGGCACGCUGAUAUGUAGGUGAGGUCCUCGCGGAUGGAGCUGAAAUCAGUCGAAGAUACCAGCUGGCUGCAACUGUUUAUUAAAAACACAGCACUGUGCAAACACGAAAGUGGACGUAUACGGUGUGACGCCUGCCCGGUGCCGGAAGGUUAAUUGAUGGGGUUAGCGGUAACGCGAAGCUCUUGAUCGAAGCCCCGGUAAACGGCGGCCGUAACUAUAACGGUCCUAAGGUAGCGAAAUUCCUUGUCGGGUAAGUUCCGACCUGCACGAAUGGCGUAAUGAUGGCCAGGCUGUCUCCACCCGAGACUCAGUGAAAUUGAACUCGCUGUGAAGAUGCAGUGUACCCGCGGCAAGACGGAAAGACCCCGUGAACCUUUACUAUAGCUUGACACUGAACAUUGAGCCUUGAUGUGUAGGAUAGGUGGGAGGCUUAGAAGUGUGGACGCCAGUCUGCAUGGAGCCGGCCUUGAAAUACCACCCUUUAAUGUUUGAUGUUCUAACGUUGGCCCCUGAUCGGGGUUGCGGACAGUGUCUGGUGGGUAGUUUGACUGGGGCGGUCUCCUCCUAAAGAGUAACGGAGGAGCACGAAGGUUGGCUAAUCCUGGUCGGACAUCAGGAGGUUAGUGCAAUGGCAUAAGCCAGCUUGACUGCGAGCGUGACGGCGCGAGCAGGUGCGAAAGCAGGUCAUAGUGAUCCGGUGGUUCUGAAUGGAAGGGCCAUCGCUCAACGGAUAAAAGGUACUCCGGGGAUAACAGGCUGAUACCGCCCAAGAGUUCAUAUCGACGGCGGUGUUUGGCACCUCGAUGUCGGCUCAUCACAUCCUGGGGCUGAAGUAGGUCCCAAGGGUAUGGCUGUUCGCCAUUUAAAGUGGUACGCGAGCUGGGUUUAGAACGUCGUGAGACAGUUCGGUCCCUAUCUCGCCGUGGGCGCUGGAGAACUGAGGGGGGCUGCUCCUAGUACGAGAGGACCGGAGUGGACGCAUCACUGGUGUUCGGGUUGUCAUGCCAAUGGCACUGCCCGGUAGCUAAAUGCGGAAGAGAUAAGUGCUGAAAGCAUCUAAGCACGAAACUUGCCCCGAGAUGAGUUCUCCCUGACUCCUUGAGAGUCCUGAAGGAACGUUGAAGACGACGACGUUGAUAGGCCGGGUGUGUAAGCGCAGCGAUGCGUUGAGCUAACCGGUACUAAUGAACCGUGAGGCUUAACCUU